rnacentral:tRNA from 2 species
UGAGUUGUAGUUUAAUUGGAAAAACACCAUUUUUUGGUAGUGGACCAUAUCAGUUCAAAUCUGGUCAACUCAG